rnacentral:rRNA from 1 species
UACAGAGGUCUCAAGCGUUGUUCGGAUUCAUUGGGCGUAAAGGGUGCGUAGGCGGCGCGGUAAGUCGGGUGUGAAAUCUCGGAGCUUAACCCCGAAACUGCAUUUGAUACUGCGGUGCUCGAGGACUGGAGAGGAGACUGGAAUUCACGGUGUAGCAGUGAAAUGCGUAGAUAUCGUGAGGAAGGCCAGUGGCGAAGGCGAGUCUCUGGACAGUUCCUGACGCUGAGGCACGAAGGCCAGGGGAGCAAACGGG